GAUGAACGCUGGCGGCGUGCUUAACACAUGCAAGUCGAACGGAAAGGCUCCUGCUUGCAGGGGUACUCGAGUGGCGAACGGGUGAGUAACACGUGGGUGAUCUGCCCUGCACUUCGGGAUAAGCCUGGGAAACUGGGUCUAAUACCGGAUAGGACGAUGGUUUGGAUGCCAUUGUGGAAAGUUUUUUCGGUGUGGGAUGAGCUCGCGGCCUAUCAGCUUGUUGGUGGGGUAAUGGCCUACCAAGGCGUCGACGGGUAGCCGGCCUGAGAGGGUGUACGGCCACAUUGGGACUGAGAUACGGCCCAGACUCCUACGGGAGGCAGCAGUGGGGAAUAUUGCACAAUGGGCGCAAGCCUGAUGCAGCGACGCCGCGUGGGGGAUGACGGCCUUCGGGUUGUAAACUCCUUUCGCUAGGGACGAAGCGCAAGUGACGGUACCUGGAGAAGAAGCACCGGCUAACUACGUG
rnacentral:rRNA from 1 species